UACGAAGGGGGCUAGCGUUGCUCGGAAUCACUAGGCGUAAAGCGCACGUAGGCGGAUUGCUAAGUCAGGGGUGAAAUCCUGGAGCUCAACUCCAGAACUGCCUUUGAUACUGGCGACCUUGAGUCCGGGAGAGGUGAGUGGAACUGCGAGUGUAGAGGUGAAAUUCGUAGAUAUUCGCAAGAACACCAGUGGCGAAGGCGGCUCACUGGCCCGGUACUGACGCUGAGGUGCGAAAGCGUGGGGAGCAAACAGG
rnacentral:rRNA from 1 species